rnacentral:lncRNA from 1 species
UUGAAGUAUAUGUCUAAGAGGUUGGUUGGUGAGCACAACAAUUGGAUGUGACUGGAAGUACAACUGUAAUUUUCUGGCAGCUAGCUGUUCCGCAAGCGUGUAUCGUGUUUCUGCAUCGAGGAGCACUUUACUUACAUAGUAAACAGGUUGCUGAACUCUUCCUUUUUCCUUUACCAAGACAUCGCUUAAUGCGUUGUGAGAAAUGGCCAAGUAUAAUAGCAGCGUGUCACCGGGUUCGGGUUUAGUAAGGACUGGAUGCGUUGAUAAUGUCUGCUUGAGCUCCUGAAAAGCUAAGUUGCAUUCCUCGUUCCAGUCGAAACCUUUAUUUCCCCUAAGUAGUUUGAAAAAGGGAAAACACAUGUCUGCUGUCCGGGAAACAAACCUGUUCAAUGCUGAUACACGACCUGUCAACUUCUGAAUGUCCCUUUUGCACUUAGGAGCCUCCAUACUUAUUAGAGCUUGUAUUUUAUUAGGAUUCGCCUCUAUUUCUCUGUGCAUGAUCAUAAAACCCAAGAAUUUUCUAGAUGCCACCCCAAACGCACACUUUGCCGGAUUGAGCUUCAUGUUGUACCUCCGUAACGUAGCAAACACUUCCUCUAGAUCAGAAACAUGGCUAUUCAACUGUUUGCUCUUAACCACCAUAGCAUCCACAUAUACUUCGAUCGUUUCCCAAUUAGCUUGGCGAAGAUCUUGUUCACCAACCUUUGAUAUGUUGCUCCAGCAUUCUUCAGUCCAAAGGGCAUGACCCUGUAGCAGUAGAUGGUUGAAUUUGCCAUGAACGAGGUCUUCUUCUGCCAUGAGAAUUUGGUGAUACCCUGAGAAAGCAUCCAAGAAACUGUAUAGCAUAUGGCCUGACGUGCUAUCUACCAGAUUGUCGAUUCGAGGUAAGGGAUAACUGUCUUUGGGGCAUGCUUUAUUCAGAUCUGUGAUGUCAAUGCAAACUCGCCACUUUCCAUUAGCUUUCUUGACAAGAACCACGUUGGCAAGCCAUUCGAGAUAUUGUACUUCUCGAACGAACUGU